rnacentral:misc_RNA from 1 species
UGGCGUCCAGCUUGGGGGGCGGCGUCCCGUGCCUGUCACAGUCGUGGUGGUGCUUUGUCUAUUGGCAUAGCAUCGGGCGUCUUGGUGGGCACUGGGGCUGCCAUGCSCAAGUGAAGGCGUGUGAGUGGCAUUGGGCUCGGGUGGUCGCGCAGGCUCCCUGCUGUUGCAGCGAACUGUGUGGCCCCGAUCCUCCUCAUCGUUGUUGCCUCGAUUGACCCUGCGCGCGAGGUGCGGAGAUGGUUCUUGUGUUGCUUACCGAUUUCGGCGGAAUUGUGUCCUCGGAUAUUCUCGGUCCGUUUAUUGCACUGCCGGUGCGAUGCGGCGUGAAAGAGGCCCCCCAUUGUCCGCCCGUGGCUUGCCUCGGCUUGCCGUAGGGACGGGCAUGGGGGCGUCAUCUAGUUCUCGUGGGUUUGGAAGACUAUGCGGGCGUCGGGCUUGGUCCUUCGUACGYCCGGUAAGUGUGUCGAUGCGAACGAYUGUCGCUCCCGCCCGGGCUUCCCAUCGAAAGGUGGCGAUGCCCUCGCGAGGACGAUGUCGGUGAGGAAUGC